GUUGGGGGGAUAAUAAUAUCAUUAGGGUUCUAUGCUGUUUUAUGGGGAAAAGCUAAAGAAGAUGGCAGUCAUGUUGAUGACAAGGAAGCAGCUUCAUCAUCCACCCAAACCACCUCUCUGUUGCAACCCCAUGAGGUAUGAAUGCGCAACUAACAUCGGUGYGGUAGUCAAAUUCAACACAAGUAUAGACAAAUCCAUUGCAUUGUAAGUUGCAUACAGCAAACUUGAACAYGCCCAAAAGCUUACGAGAGACGAGCGGUAGGAGAAGAAGGGUACGUUGAGGGUGGUUUUGCACCGAGCAAAGUUGCAUGGUUUCAUCCUCAUUGGCACACUUGUAGAAGGGUAUGUUGGCGAUUGGUMUCACACAUMCAUUACAUAACAAUUCARUCUUUUUUAUUGGGUUAUGAGAGGAUAACAGUUUCAUUCU